GGGCGAUUAGCUCAGUGGUAGAGCGCCUGCCUUACAAGCAGGACGUCACUGGUUCAAAUCCAGUAUCGCCCA
rfam:Geminocystis sp. NIES-3708 DNA, complete genome.